UCAAUAGUAUGCAUUGAUAGUGAUUUUUUUUCUUUCUGAUUUUGUUGGGAAAUGUUCUUUUAACAGAUUCUGUUCUGUUCUCCAGCCAGUCUCAUUAGAUACCUGUGCUGGAGAGCCAGUGUGCAUCAUGUCUGGUGACUCGGAUUUGGCCCUGCGUUGCCCACUCCUGCUGCAUCUUACCCAGUCGAGGGAUGAAAGGUCUUGGCACCUUCCUGAAGCAUGAGAAGAAAGGAGGUUCUGAAAGCACAGAUCCAAGACCACCAGAGGCCGAAGACACCGAUCCCUGGAGGGGCCACUCACACACCGCCAGGAGCCAAGGAGAGCUGGACCUGGAGGAACAUGGACCCAACAAGGAUGGAAAUACCAGCAAUCCCAAAGGUCAUCUACAUCUGUGCCCAGGGAGCUAUGUGGGGCCCACUGAGUGGAAGAUAAUGCAGCGGCUGCUCUGUCACUUUGCAACUGCAGAAGCUGGAACAAGGGCCCAAGAAGCCAAAGAAGCCACACGAGUCCAGUUCCAAAGCUGUCUGAAUGACCCUGAGAGAACUGCCUACCAAAUUAUGACCAGUUGUGCCAACAGACGUUGA
rnacentral:lncRNA from 1 species